rnacentral:rRNA from 1 species
GACGAAGGAUGCAAGCGUUAUCCGGAUUCAUUGGGUUUAAAGGGAGCGUAGGCGGACUUAUAAGUCAGUGGUGAAAUCUCCUUGCUUAACAAGGAAACUGCCAUUGAUACUGUAGGUCCUGAGUACAGUUGCCGUUGGCGGAAUAUGACAUGUAGUGGUGAAAUACUUAGAUAUGUCAUAGAACACCGAUUGCGAAGGCAGCUAACGAAGCUGUAACUGACGCUGAGGCUCGAAAGUGCGGGGAUCAAACAGG